UGAUAAUAAUUUAAGGUCUAAUCUGCUCAAUGAGGAUUUAAAUAGCCGCAGUAUUUUGACUGUGCAAAGGUAGCGUGAUAAUUAGUCUCUUAAUUAGAGACUUGAAUGAAUGAUUGGACAAGAAAAUUUCUGUCUCUUUUUAAUUUUUUGUGAAUUUUAUUUUUAAGUUAAAAUGCUUAAAUAUUUAUAAAAGACGAGAAGACCCCAUAGAGUUUUAUUUAAAUUAGUUGGGGUGACUAAAAGAUUUAAUUAACUCUUUUAAUUUAAAUCAUUGAUUUAUGAAAAUAAAGUCUAAUUUUUUUAAAUUUAAAUUAAAUUACCUUGGGGAUAACAGCGUAAUUUCUUUUUAGAGUUCUUAUCAAAUGAGAAGAUUGCGACCUCGAUGUUGGAUUAAAAUUUAUUUUAGGUGUAGAAGCUUAAAAAUUAAGUCUGUUC
rnacentral:rRNA from 1 species